rnacentral:ncRNA from 2 species
CUCUUAUUCAGAGUGGUGGAGAUACAAAGGAUCUAUGAAGCCACGGCAACCCCCGAAAGAGGAAGGUGCCAACCUGAGCGAGUAAUUCUGCCGGAAAUGGCAGGUCGAACAAUAAGAG